CAUUGGUUGAACUGGACACUUGCACUGACAUGUUCGUUUACAUUUUAUAUUUACUGGUGUUUCAUUUGUUCUGAAUCAUGCUCACGUGUAUGUGAUGUACAAUAGUAAACUGAUAAUCCUUAUGCACAUGAGUAGUCAGUAUCUAUACAUAAAUAUAUGAGCAAUUUGUAUCUAUACAUGCAUCCGGCAUCUACAUGACUGCUUUCUGUUACGACGUGGUGUACAUUUUGACCGUGGGUACUAUGUGAGCAUUGCUGUUUGCUACCCUUUUGCAUUCUGCUUCAGAAGAAUAGGAAUCUCUUCUAUGAUUAUAAUUCUAGUAGCUCCAUGUUUUAGUUAAUCCUGCUACUUUUUAUGGUCUAAAAGUACCCGUUGUCAACAAUUAUAUGCUGGGAGAUUAUCUACAUGAGUGUUAAUUUUACAAUGUGGCAAACUUCUAUAACUAUGUGUGUGUAUGUGAGCUUUGUUGUUUUGGCCCCGCCCGUUUUCGCUUUCUGCUUUAAACAAAUGAGAAGCUUCUCUAUGCUUACAAGCUUGACUAUAGCUAUCAUCGCAAUGUUAUUAGAGCUGUACUCUUAACUAUUCUUGUUUCUUGCUUUGAACCUAGCUUUGUUGAUUUAAUUCGCAAUGUUAGACAUUUUUUUUCUUUCACUGAUAUUUUGAUGUAUCUUAAUUGCAAGUGGUAGCAUAGUAGGCUGGAGGGUGGCCUUCUUUUCUUCAACUCUACAGGGUUUUGGUAAGUUUAUGGGAUACACCGUCCAUGGGUUUUUAGGUUAAAACUUGUCUCAAAGAAGCAAAGUUAGUUUUGCAUGUAGGACAGUUGCAAUUGGCGCUUAACAUGCAUAUCCCCGUCAUGAAUUGAUGUAAAUUUGAAAACAAUUGUCUUCGAUCUACUAUGGAAUAGUACAUUGAGUUGGAUGUUGUGAUUUUGAAGUCACUGCGCAUCAUUGAGUCAAUUUUGUAAGAUGUGAAGGAAAACACCAAUGUCAGUUCCAUGUAUGCGAUAAGGUUGUCUAUUGCUGUUUUGCGAGUCCUAAUACAUAUUUUGUGUUUAUGCCGAUUUACAAGACUUGUAUGUUGUGCAUACUGCUGGAUAUCCAAUUUCAGUGUAAUCUUAUUGUUGUGAACUUGUGUUUAGCAUCCCUACAUUAACAAUAUGUACACCAGGUGCCCCUUCAAUGAGAUUGUCGAACUCAAUGUGUUAUGAAGUAUGCUUUGCUUUAGUUUGUUGAGAAUUCUAGAUAUGAAAAUGAAAUUUACUCAUACUUCCUACUUGUCAACUGUUCUGACAUAUACAAGUUGGUGCCUCUUAAUAUGUCUUGUAUAUGUAUGAUUUGAUGUCCACAUGACUUCCCUGAAUCUAAAUCUAGGUGGUAUAACUUCCAAGCUUUUUCCAUUUUCUGCAGUAGAAAUCAUCUCUAGUCUUCACCUGGGCAUGCUCUUUAGAUAGUAUGUGUGUAUUUUUGGUUCUACUUGGCAGGGAAGCUCGAUGAAGAUGUUGAGCAUCUCACCAAGACAAUUCUGCUGAAUCCAAACUCAUCAAUCGUGUCUUUUGGGUGUUAUGCCGGUGGAUUCGACAACACUGUUGGUGCUAUGGUCGUACUGCAACCUUGGCGCCUCAAUUGGACCGAGAAGUAGAGCUGGAGCUGGCCAGGAGGUAGGGGUGGCUUCCUCCAUGCGUUGGUGGUUUAGGACGGAGAAGUCGAACUGCAGCUCGCACAGAGUUAGGGUGGCAUUCCUUUACAUGUUGGUGGUUUAGGCACUGCGGCAUCAAGCAACCGGAGCUCGCCGGCUCCUAGGUUCUUGCCUCCUCUUGGGUCUCCACUGUCUAGCAAUUACAAGGACCGACUCACCAAACUGUUGCUGCAUGGGAUCGAAGGGUGAUGAUGAAGGUGGCUGAUUAGUUGCUGCAUGAUUCUUAAUUCCUAGAUUUCUUUAUGUAUCAGAGGGAAAACAAGAGCAGAUGCUGACCUGGUUGUACUGUGACCAAUUAAGACAAAGGAUGGUCUUUUUUGCCUACCAUUUUUUUAGAUGC